rnacentral:SRP_RNA from 1 species
GCGGCGGCUAGGUGGGGGGCUCGGCCUCCCCUUGUAGGGUAUAUACCCUACACCGCAAAUGGUCGAAAUGGCGGGCUGAAAGCCGAUGUGAGGCGUCUUGAAGGAUCGUAGACCCCAACGGUUCGGCUAUGAAUCCUCGUCCCGUGGGGUCGUCGGAGAUGGUAGCCUCUCUGGAGGGAGAGGUGAACCAUCAUUACCAGGCGAAACGGGUUAGGCCAGGAAUGGAGCAGCCCUAAGCCUGGACGGCGGCGUUCACGGGGGUGCGGGGCUGAGUUCGACGUUGGGUGUUCUACGAUCUGGAGAGGCGUCCAGCAUCGGCACGCCGCCGC